UCGGCUGGGCGCUGGAUUCAAGCCCCGGGUGCUGACGGCAGGCGAGGGGUUCUCUGCUGUCUAAAAAGUAUCCCUGUGACAUCAGAGGAAAGAUAGAAGG